rnacentral:rRNA from 1 species
GACGAACGCUGGCGGCGUGCUUAACACAUGCCAGUCGAACGAUGACGACCGAGCUUGCUCGGUCUGAUUAGUGGCGAACGGGUGAGUAACACGUGAGCAACCUGCCCUUCACUCUGGGAUAACCUCGGGAAAUCGGGGCUAAUACCGGAUAUGAGCUCCUGUCGCAUGGCGGGUGUUGGAAAGUUUUUCGGUGAAGGAUGGGCUCGCGGCCUAUCAGUUUGUUGGUGAGGUAGUGGCUCACCAAGGCGAUGACGGGUAGCCGGCCUGAGAGGGCGACCGGCCACACUGGGACUGAGACACGGCCCAGACUCCUACGGGAGGCAGCAGUGGGGAAUAUUGCACAAUGGGCGAAAGCCUGAUGCAGCGACGCCGCGUGAGGGAUGACGGCCUUCGGGUUGUAAACCUCUUUCAGCAGGGAAGAAGCGAAAGUGACGGUGCCUGCAGAAGAAGCGCCGGCUAACUACGUG